GAUUAUCUCUCUCUCUCUAUAUAUAUAUAUAUCUAUAUAUCUAUCUAUCUAUCGAUAGAUAUAUAUAUAUAUAUAUAUAUAUAUGUAGAGAGAGAGAGAGAGAG